UACGAAGGGGGCUAGCGUUGCUCGGAAUCACUGGGCGUAAAGGGCGCGUAGGCGGCCGAUUAAGUCGGGGGUGAAAGCCUGUGGCUCAACCACAGAAUUGCCUUCGAUACUGGUUGGCUUGAGACCGGAAGAGGACAGCGGAACUGCGAGUGUAGAGGUGAAAUUCGUAGAUAUUCGCAAGAACACCAGUGGCGAAGGCGGCUGUCUGGUCCGGUUCUGACGCUGAGGCGCGAAAGCGGUGGGGAGCAAACAGG
rnacentral:rRNA from 1 species